rnacentral:rRNA from 1 species
AUUGAACGCUGGCGGCAGGCUUAACACAUGCAAGUCGAGCGGAGAUGAGGUGCUUGCACCUUAUCUUAGCGGCGGACGGGUGAGUAAUGCUUAGGAAUCUGCCAUUUAGUGGGGGACAACAUUCCGAAAGGAAUGCUAAUACCGCAUACGUCCUACGGGAGAAAGCAGGGGAUCUUCGGACCUUGCGCUAAAUGAUGAGCCUAAGUCGGAUUAGCUAGUUGGUGGGGUAAAGGCCUACCAAGGCGACGAUCUGUAGCGGGUCUGAGAGGAUGAUCCGCCACACUGGGACUGAGACACGGCCCAGACUCCUACGGGAGGCAGCAGUGGGGAAUAUUGGACAAUGGGCGGAAGCCUGAUCCAGCCAUGCCGCGUGUGUGAAGAAGGCCUUUUGGUUGUAAAGCACUUUAAGCGAGGAGGAGGCUACUAGUACUAAUACUACUGGAUAGUGGACGUUACUCGCAGAAUAAGCGCCGGCUAACUCUGUGCCAGCAGCCGCGGUAAUAC